AGAGUUUGAUCCUGGCUCAGGAUGAACGCUGGCGGCGUGCCUAAUACAUGCAAGUCGAGCGAACAGACGAGGAGCUUGCUCCUCUGACGUUAGCGGCGGACGGGUGAGUAACACGUGGAUAACCUACCUAUAAGACUGGGAUAACUUCGGGAAACCGGAGCUAAUACCGGAUAAUAUAUUGAACCGCAUGGUUCAAUAGUGAAAGACGGUUUUGCUGUCACUUAUAGAUGGAUCCGCGCCGCAUUAGCUAGUUGGUAAGGUAACGGCUUACCAAGGCAACGAUGCGUAGCCGACCUGAGAGGGUGAUCGGCCACACUGGGACUGAGAUACGGCCCAGACUCCUACGGGAGGCUGCAGUGGGGAAUAUUGCACAAUGGGCGCAAGCCUGAUGCAGCGACGCCGCGUGAGGGAUGGAGGCCUUCGGGUUGUAAACCUCUUUUGUUAGGGAGCAAGGCUGAGUGAGUUUACCCGUUGAAUAAGCACCGGCUAACUACGUGCCAGCAGCCGCGGUAAUACGUAGGUGGCAAGCGUUGUCCGGAUUUACUGGGCGUAAAGGGAGCGUAGGUGGAUAUUUAAGUGGGAUGUGAAAUACCCGGGCUUAACCUGGGUGCUGCAUUCCAAACUGGAUAUCUAGAGUGCAGGAGAGGAAAGGAGAAUUCCUAGUGUAGCGGUGAAAUGCGUAGAUAUAUGGAGGAACACCAGUGGCGAAGGCGACGAUCUGGCCUGUAACUGACGCUGAGGAGCGAAAGCGUGGGGAGCGAACAGGAUUAGAUACCCUGGUAGUCCACGCCGUAAACGGUGGAUGCUGGAUGUGGGGGGGUUUCAACACCUCUGUGCCGCCGCUAACGCAUUAAGUAUUCCGCCUGGGGAGUACGGUCGCAAGAUUAAAACUCAAAGGAAUUGACGGGGGCCCGCACAAGUAGCGGAGCAUGUGGUUUAAUUCGACGCAACGCGAAGAACCUUACCUAGACUUGACAUCUCCUGCAUUACCCUUAAUCGGGGAAGUUCCUUCGGGGACAGGAAGACAGGUAGUGCAUGGUUGUCGUCAGCUCGUGCUGUGAGAUGUUGGGUUAAGUCCCGCAACGAGCGCAACCCUUAUUGUUAGUUGCUACCAUUUAGUUGAGCACUCUAGCGAGACUGCCCGGGUUAACCGGGAGGAAGGUGGGGAUGACGUCAAAUCAUCAUGCCCCUUAUGUCUAGGGCUACACACGUGCUACAAUGGCCGGUACAGAAAGACGCGAUACCGCGAGGUGGAGCAAAACUUUAAAACCGGUCUCAGUUCGGAUUGUAGGCUGAAACUCGCCUACAUGAAGCUGGAGUUACUAGUAAUCGCGAAUCAGCAUGUCGCGGUGAAUACGUUCCCGGGCCUUGUACACACCGCCCGUCACACCAUGAGAGUUGGCAAUACCCAAAGUUCGUGAGCUAACCGCAAGGAGGCAGCGACCUAAGGUAGGGUCAGCGAUUGGGGUGAAGUCGUAACAAGGUAACCA
rnacentral:rRNA from 1 species